rnacentral:rRNA from 1 species
CUAACCACGCGAAGGUAGCAUAAUCACUUGUUCUUUAAAUGGGGACUAGUAUGAACGGCAUCACGAGGGCUAAACUGUCUCCCCCCUCCAAUCAGUGAAACUGAUCUCCUCACUUUAAAACUAGUACCACUGCUCCCACAAUACACCACACAAGCCAGGACAUUAUGGCUACUAGUCUUUCGGCUGGGGCGACCAUGGAGAAAAACAGAACCUCCAUAAUGAACGGAAAUUUUCCUAAUCCCAGAAUUACAAUUCCAAGAAUCAACAAAUUGACAUACAUUGACCCAAAUAUUGAUCAACGAACCAAGCUACCCUGGGGAUAACAGCGCAAUCCAUUUCAAGAGCCCCCAUCGACAAAUGGGCUUACGACCUCGAUGUUGGAUCAGGGUAUCCUGAUGGUGCAGCCGCUAUCAAGGGUUCGUCUGUUCGACGACUAAGACCCUUCGUGAUCU